rnacentral:rRNA from 1 species
CAGUAGCCGCGGGAAUACGGAGGGGGCUAGCGUUGUUCGGAAUUACUGGGCGUAAAGCGUACGUAGGCGGCUUUGUAAGUUAGAGGUGAAAGCCUGGUGCUCAACACCAGAACUGCCUUUAAGACUGCAUCGCUUGAACGUCGGAGAGGUGAGUGGAAUUCCGAGUGUAGAGGUGAAAUUCGUAGAUAUUCGGAAGAACACCAGUGGCGAAGGCGGCUCACUGGACGACUGUUGACGCUGAGGUACGAAAGCGUGGGGGGCAAACAGGAUUAGAUACCCGGGUAGUCCCUGUCUCUUAUAC